rnacentral:rRNA from 1 species
AUUGAACGCUGGCGGCAUGCUUUACACAUGCAAGUCGAACGGUAACAGGCCGCAAGGUGCUGACGAGUGGCGAACGGGUGAGUAAUGCAUCGGAACGUGCCCAGUCGUGGGGGAUAACUACUCGAAAGAGUAGCUAAUACCGCAUACGAUCUAUGGAUGAAAGCGGGGGACCGUAAGGCCUCGCGCGAUUGGAGCGGCCGAUGUCAGAUUAGGUAGUUGGUGGGGUAAAGGCUCACCAAGCCAACGAUCUGUAGCUGGUCUGAGAGGACGACCAGCCACACUGGGACUGAGACACGGCCCAGACUCCUACGGGAGGCAGCAGUGGGGAAUUUUGGACAAUGGGCGCAAGCCUGAUCCAGCAAUGCCGCGUGCAGGAAGAAGGCCUUCGGGUUGUAAACUGCUUUUGUACGGAACGAAACGGCUCUGGUUAAUACCCGGGGCUAAUGACGGUACCGUAAGAAUAAGCACCGGCUAACUACGU